ensembl:lncRNA
GUCUGUCUCCAAUGGAGAAACAAUAAUAUGGUUUCUGCCUCUCUUUUGCCUCUCAAAUCUCAUGCUAGUGCUUCUGGCUGGUGCAUUCUAACCUGGAACCCUGCUGAUGGGAAUUGUGAGGAAUGUGGCUUCCAAGCUUCUGGCUCCUACGACACGGAGGCGAGCUUGGGGCAGGCUCCUUCUUUCCAGUGUUACCUUUGUUCUCUGAACACACUUCAUGCUUACAAACCUCUCUAGGAACUUAGGAGUCAGAGAGAGCUGAGGAGAAGAGAGGUGAGCAAUGUGCCAGGAGAAGAGAAUCGAAGAGGCAUUGCACGUGCUGGAUGUGAAAGAAAGGAACUCAGAGAAGAGUAAGUGACUGAUUCCGCCACCACCGAAAAUUUCUACAGUGUUGUAAGAAGACUUUAAUAAUUCAAAUGCCACUCUUUGAGAGAAGUGACAGUAUGCAUAUAAACAUAGCACGGUAAACGUUUAGAGUCUAAAUUAAACUCCGGCUGAGAGGUUUUUCCCAACAGAUUUUAAAUUCACAGAGAGAUGCUGAACGAUUGGCCUGAACUGACUGGUCUCUUGGCGAGGCUGAAAGCAAGAUGCCCUCUGGCUGCUCUCUCUCCCUCAGAUGCUGCCGAGCGUCUGCUGUGGCCUUUGGCAAAAGUAAGGAUUGUGCCUUGAAAACACCAUUUUGCCUGAGAUAAUUGUCUAAGGGUUGGGGACUGUUUACCUCCUAAAUUUCCAGGAUGGAGCCUUUGCACAUGUGUUGUAUUACUUUGUUAGAUUUUUAUAAAAAGUGAGGCAUGUGAGUGAGUGGUGUUGAGUGAAUUCAGCUGCCAGUAUCCUGAAGCUAUCACAAUGAGUUUAGUUUCCUUAAUUUAUAUUCUCCGAGAACAUCAUCCGUUUUGUACAGGAUUUCAAACACGCAUGCGGAAAGUGGCUUCUAACCUUGUCUUUGAGUCAUUUCCUGCUAAUAAUUUCUCUUUCUGUGCUCCUCUUAUUGUUUCUUUUCUUUCUUUCCCCUUGACUCGUUUACCUAAUGGCCUAUCUAUCAAUAGUUUGUUCAAAGAAUUACUUCUUGGAAUCAUUUUCAUUAAUUUAUAUUUUAACUUUGUUAUCAGAACUUCCUCUCUGGUAUUGCGUUCGUUUACUUAUUUUUUGCCAGCAUCUUGAAUUGGAUGCUUAUUAAUUUUUAUUCUUUCCUUUUUUUUAAAUGUAAGCAUUUAAGGCUAUGAAUCUUCCUCUCAACACAACUUUACCUUUAUCACAUAGUUUCUAACACAAGUUAGUUUUGUUGUUAUUAUUUUCUAGAUGGCUGAUAGUUUAUUUUUUAUUUCCAUUUUGACUCAACAGUUGUUUUUUUUUUUUUUAAAUCGUGUGGUAUGUUUUUCUUUUCUGGUUUUGUUAUUAAUUUCUAGCUUUUUUAUUUUGUGAUCAAAACUAAGUUGCCUUUGCUAUUUUUACUUUUCAAAAUUUAUUGAGUUCUUUUUGCCCAUUAAGUGGACAAAUUUUGUUAAUGUUCUGUGGAUAUGUAAAAAAGUAAGAAUAGUCUCUCCUUUCAUGAUAUAAGCGUUGAAUGCACAGUGAUUACAUGCUACUUUAUUAAUUACAUUCUUUAGGAUGCCUAUAUUUUUUCUUAUUAUUUGUAUACUUGCUAUAUCAAGAGUGAGAGAGGUAAAUUAAUAUUCCUUAUUACUAAUGUAUUUGGCUAGUUCUCCUUGUAUAUCCUAUGCUUUUAAUUUUGUUAAUAUUAGUGCUAUGUUAUUUGACCAUAACUGAAAUUCUGCCUUGUAGAUUGUAUACAUUGUCUUACAGGGCAUGCUUCCUUGUAUAGUUUAUGUUUUUUUAUGUGUGUGGUUCAAAAAAAGAUGAUUAUGGCAUCUGUUUUCUUUUUCACUUGCCUUAUAUAUAUUUGUCCAUCUUUUUAUUUUUACUUUUCCCAUUUGUUUUAGGGGUCUCCAUGGCCAAACUAAUAGGUAGAUUUAGCUAACUAAUAUAAAAGACAUGUUAGGUGUUUUGUAUUUUAUCAUAUUACUGUAAUUUUUUGGUUUUUAUAUUUUUGUUUUUGAAACUUGCAAUAUGGUUUGAAUUUAUUUUGCUGCUUUCUUGUUUUGUGUAAUUUAUAAUCAAUUUGCAAUUAUUGUGAUUUUUUUCCUGAUGGUUACAUUUCUAACUGUAAAUUUAUGUAAUGCCCUUAAUUCUCUAUUUCUUAAUGGAGAGUCUAUUGCCUAGUUACUGUCACUAAUGAUAAAAUAAUUAUAUUUCUAUGUUUUCCCGUCUUAGAUCUUUCCUUUCCAUAUGUGAUCUUCUUUAAUAAUAAUGCUUAGUCUUUACAUUUAUUGCUUUCAUUGUUUUCAGACUUCAAGUGUAAGUACUGGGUUUAUCAGCUUUAAAUGACUCCUCCUUCCCCUACUUCCAGCUCCAAAAGAUAUGAACAUGAGGAGCUUAACUAAGAAAUGCCUUCAUGCUGGAUGUUCUGUGUGCAGUUUUUCCCUGAGAUACCCUGUGUCCUGUGAAUCUAUAGGUUUGUGUUUUUAAAUUUCUGGAUAAUUUUCUUAUACCUAAUAUUUUAAUUUUCCUCUACAACUGUGUUGAAUUUCUUUUUGAUCAGUUUUGUGUAUAUUGGAAUCUCAUUUCUCCUCCACACGUAUGAUUUUCUAGUUGUUUAGCUUGUUCAUUUUCAUCUCAUUUUGCCUCUUUUUCCCAAUUCUGUCUUCUGUGUCCUUUACUGUGUUUUCAGUGGUAUUUUCUCUAAGUCUGCUUCCAACAUGGACCUCAUUUCUGCGAUGGCAUUCCCCCCUUACCCCAACUUCUUUUCUAGGUUCUGCCAUGCCAGCAAUUAUUCUGUUUUCCUACUUCUGUUUUACCUUAUUCUGUUUUCCCACUCUCAGAGCUCAUGUCUGUUUGUUGUGUGUUUUUAUUUUUUGAGGCAAUUUAUUCAUUAUGUUUAAAAAACUCAUGGUGGCAUUGAUGGUCACAAUUUUCAUUUGCUCCUUAGUAUUUUUCUGGUGAGUUACUCAUUUUCCUUGUUCUUUUACUCCUUUUCUUUUCUUUUGGUAUGUUAGUAAAGAUAGUGUACAAAGUCCUUGCAUACUAUUGCUCAUUUUGUUUACAGAGGUGAGUUCUACCUGGACCACAUGUUUUCCAGGAGUUCAUGUGAGAACAGGGCCAAGGUAGUUUCUGAGGCUGGUAGAAGUUCUUGCUAUAACAUAGUGUGUGUGAGUGAGGUAUUUUAUAGUCUUUACUUCCUCUCAGUCAUCUAAGGUUGGCAGCUCCAGGGCUGUUCGCGAUUCAGUAUCUCUCAACCUGUCUCACCCACAGAAAGCUUCCUGACAACACAGUCUGCCUGUGGGACCCUCCUCCUUCUCUGCUUCCAGCUUCUCCUUAGCGAAGAGCCAUUUUGGAGACGGUCCUGCAGUCAGGCUGUGCCCUCUGCUCUUCUUAGCCCUUAGUUAUCUUCUACUUUAAGACAUAUGGGGUUACGUUACAGGUUUUCUUCCUCCUCGUUUUUGGGUAAUUUCUGAUAUGAGAAAGGGUUGGCACUGUUUU